AUUGAACGCUGGCGGCAGGCCUAACACAUGCAAGUCGAGCGAGUGGCGGACGGGUGAGUAAUGCUUGUGAAUCUAGCUUAUGGAGGGGGAUAACUACGGGAAACUGUAGCUAAUACCGCCUACCAUAGGAUGAGCCCAAGUGGGAUUAGGUAGUUGGUGUGGUAAAGGCACACCAAGCCGACGAUCUCUAGCUGGUCUGAGAGGAUGACAAGCUACACUGCGACGGAGACGAGACCCAGACCAAACGUGGAGGAGGCAGAGGGGAAUGUUGCGCAGUGGGGGGAACCUGACGCGGCCAUGCCGAGUGAAUGAAAGAGGCAUUCGGGUUUUAGAGUUCUAUCGGUAGCGAAGCGUUAGCUAAAGAAGAAGGACCGGCUAACUCCGUGCCAGCAGCCGCGGUAAUAC
rnacentral:rRNA from 1 species